rnacentral:rRNA from 1 species
UACGGGGGGGGCAAGCGUUGUUCGGAAUUACUGGGCGUAAAGGGCGCGUAGGCGGCGCAACAAGUCACUUGUGAAAUCUCCGGGCUUAACCCGGAGCGGUCAAGUGAUACUGUCGUGCUAGAGUGCGGAAGGGGCUACUGGAAUUCCCGGUGUAGCGGUGAAAUGCGUAGAGAUCGGGAGGAAUACCAGUGGCGAAGGCGGCCUUCUGGACGUGACACUGACGCUGAGGCGCGAAAGCCAGGGGAGCAAACGGG